AGGGUCCCUUGUCACACGCCCAUCCUCCGGCAGGUGUGGAAGGCCCUCGCAUGACUGGCCCUGACACUGUCGUCACGCCAGCCC
rfam:Pseudomonas floridensis strain GEV388 GEV-388_contig_182, whole genome shotgun sequence.